CUUAUUAAUUGACUUAUUAAGCAUUUAUUUACUCUUUUUAAAUCAUAAUGACAACAGAAACUACCCAAAUGGCCCUGAUCAAAAGUUUACAUACUCUGGUGAUUUUGGCCUGGUAACAUGCACACAGGUUGGCACAAGGGGUUUGAA